GUGCGGUUCAGUUGUAGAAGUAGGAAGAAUCGUUCAAGUAGAGGCGAGAUCCGUGCGUUUUCCUUUUACCCGACUCGAAUACAUUUUAUAUAAACAAAAAAAGGAAUUCUUAAAUAUUAAAUAUAUGAACUGUGCAACAAAUGCAAAUAAGUAACUUUUAAACUCGAAACACCAACAAGAAAUCAAAGCGAGUUACGGGAACAGAAAAAAAAAAUAAAAUAAAAGAAAAUAGCCUUUUGUUUAGCAAUUGUGCAAUACGUUAAAAAAGCCAAGCGAAAGCAGAACAUAGAGAAACUGUCGAAAAAAUUUAAUACGCAUCAUAAAAGAAUCUCGGCAACAGCAACAAUCUCGGCAACAAUAUUGUGCAACACAAAGUAAACAAUUGUAAAAGCUUUAACAAAAACACACUCGCCCACACACACACAUAUAUACACACUCGCACACAACAACAAAAUGAGUGUAUGCGAGAACAAGACCGUUGUGCAACAGCAGUUGCAACAACAGGCCGCCGCUGCUGUUGCGGCUGCCGCAGCCGCCGCAGUUGCUCAGCAGCAACAACAACAGCCCACGCAAGUGGUGCCACAGCCGCAGCACAUGACGCCCCAACAACAACAACAGAGCACACAAAGCAUUGCCGACUAUUUGGCCCAAUUGCUAAAGGAUCGCAAACAGUUGGCCGCAUUUCCAAAUGUCUUUACGCAUGUGGAACGCCUGCUGGAUGAAGAAAUUGCACGCGUUCGCGCUUCACUAUUCCAGAUUAAUGGCGUUAAAAAGGAGCCACUUACCCUGCCCGAGCCCGAGGGCGCUAUGGUUACGCUGAAUGAGAAGGUUUAUGUGCCAGUGCGUGAGCAUCCAGAUUUCAACUUUGUUGGUCGCAUUUUGGGACCACGCGGCAUGACAGCCAAACAAUUAGAACAAGAGACUGGUUGUAAGAUAAUGGUUCGCGGCAAGGGCUCCAUGCGGGACAAGAAGAAGGAGGAUGCCAAUCGUGGUAAACCGAACUGGGAGCACUUGUCUGAUGAUCUGCAUGUCCUGAUCACUGUUGAGGAUACAGAGAAUCGCGCCAAAGUCAAACUGGCUCAGGCUGUCGCUGAAGUGCAAAAGUUGCUCGUGCCGCAAGCCGAAGGCGAAGAUGAGCUAAAGAAACGUCAACUUAUGGAAUUAGCCAUUAUUAACGGCACCUAUAGGGACACAACAGCGAAAUCAGUCGCAGCUUUCUCAUGCGUUGGUUCUCCUUCUGCUUCUGUUCUGUAUCCCGCAGUGUGCGAAGAGGACUGGCGCCGUUUGGUUGCUGCAUCGGAUAGUCGCCUGUUGACGCCCACACUGUCCGGACUGGCUACACAGCUACGUUCACCCGCCAAUGCACCGUUGGGCGCACCGUUGAUACUUAAUCCACGCAUGACAGUGCCCACAACAGCGGCAAGCAUAUUGUCCGCCCAGGCAGCGCCGACAGGUGCCUUCGAUCAGACCGCCCAUGGCAUGAUCUUUGCGCCGUAUGGUGACUACGCGAAUUAUGCUGCACUGGCCGGCAAUCCUCUGCUGACGGAAUAUGCAGAUCAUAGCGUAGGCGCCCUUAAGCAGCAACGUCGUUUGGCAGCUAACAGAGAACACCCAUAUCAGCGUACAACGGUCGGAGUGCCAGCCAAGCCGGCGGGUUUCAUUGAGAUACAGUAAACGCACAAUAUAGCAACAACAGCAAUAAAUGAAUUUCGUUUCAAUUCACGAAACAAAAACGUUUACCCAAAACCAAUUUUUUUGUAUUUAUCUAAAGCAAAUUUUAAAAUUUUUUUCUCACUAUGUUAAAGAAGUUAACGAUGAGUGUUGUCGUUUAACUUGCAAACUUAUUGCAAAAUUAUGUGGUUUGUUUUAUCUAAGCCCGCCAUUAUGUUCAAACUGGGCAUUAUUCAAUUUAGUUCAAUUAUGCUAAUGAUUUUGUAUUUAUUUGUUUUGCACUCUGCAUCUAUAUCAAAUUUACUUUAUUCAAUUUGUUUUCAAAAAGUGUUUUUUUUUUAUAAUAUGAAGAACCUCUUGUAUCAAUUGCUGUUGCCCUGCUGUGUGCACAAUGAAACCCAGCCAGUCCAGUUGGCCAGGCCGGUCUGUGCAGCUCCGUAACUCAGUUAAUUCAGUCCAAUAAAUAACUCAAGCGCCUCACAGAUGCGAUAGAUGCACCUACAAUUGAGGCGCAGCCAGGAAGCAGCAGCAAGAGAUUCGCAUAUGAUGUACUAAGAUCAGAAGGAAGCAGCAGCAUCAACAGCAGCAUAUUAACAGCCAUAAGAGGAACAGCUGUGGGAGCGGAAACGGAACCGGAAGCAGUGUGGCAAUGGCAGUAACCCAGCAUUGUGUGCCAUUAUGUAUGGAAUGUGAAAUGCUAAUUGCAAGUUGUGCAAGACCCACUUGUUACUGACAACUACUAAAAUAACACACAACUCACACCACACACGCACAACAACAUACAAGAUCACAUGUAUAUGCUCUAUAAAAACAUAUCCACUCAAAGUCUGUGGCCUGUUGCUUGCGCCUGUAGCACUCAUCUAAAUGCAACAGCAGCAACUGCGACUGCAAACAACAACAUCAACAACAGCAAGAAGAAGCAGAAAAUAAUGUAUUGAAUUUUGUGGCCAUUACUGUUGCGUUUUGCCAGCCAGCAAACAAAACGAAACAAACAAUUACAUUAACAAAUCAUAUAUAGUUUCUAGAUUAAAUUAAAAAAAAAAAAAAAAAAAAUCGAAAGGAAAGAGAACACACAUAAAUAUUAUCUAUUAACCACUUUUAAGUUAUAGUACAUAGUGAAAAGUUCAGCGAACAAAAAUUACUUAAUUAAACUGCAGUCUCGUGCAUACAACCAUUGUGCAUAUAACAAAUAUCGAUUUGUUUAUAAAAGAAAAAAAAAAACAAACAAACAAAGUAAAAAAGAGAAUAUCAUUUACCGAAUCUCAUCUGCAAAACGUUUUUUAUAGCAUUGUAUUUUUUUCAACAUCAAACAACGCGAUGAAGAAUCUUUUUUAUAGUUUUUUUAAGGCUAAACAAUUGUUUUAUCUGUGUAAUUAAAAUGUAAUCACACACACACGCACACACACAGACGCACAUCCACUCAUUAGGCGGCAAUUAAUUGUUGUAUGCUCUGAUAAUUUAUAAGAUUAUAACAAAAUAUCCAAUAUCUGAGAAUAUUUUUGUUAAAUUGACGCAAAUUCGUUGUUAAUGAAGAAUUUCGAUUAUGAUUAUGUUAUAUACUUUAUACACCCAUUUACACACAGACACACAUCAAUAUUAAGUAUAUAUAUCGCGCUGAUUGUGAGCGCGUGUGCUUAUUAAAUAAUACAAAAUAAAAGUAACAGCCAUAUUUAGUUAAUGAAAAGUAACGAAUAUCAUGCAUUAAUAAUGUACAAGUAAAACCUAAAUAGUUUUAAUGUCUAGUGUUAAUAUUGAGCUCAAGCACAAUGUAUUAUACACCAGAAAGAAAAAAACAAUGUUAAAUAAAUAAUUCAUGAUGGGUAAAAGAUUUUUGACCAAAAUACCGCAUAUAAAACAAAACAGAAAUUCUUUAAUUUAAAAUAAAUGUUGGAAGUUAUAGAACGCAAGAUUAUGUAAAUUUUUUCUAUAUAUUUAUAUAAAUAUUUAUAUUUUUUAAAGCGCGAACUCAUUAUACCCAUUAACAGCUAACUAUCAUAUCUGUAUGCGAUUUAAAGCAAAAUGCAUAUAUUAUUAAACAUAAAGAGAAAAAUAAAAAUGAAAUUGCAUUUAAAUUAUGGUACAAAAGAAAGACGGCUACGUUUUAUUUUAAAUUAAAGAAUUUUCCUAAAUGCAGCUGGGCUUUUAACGAAGCUAAAUUUAAAUAAACCAAUUGAAACAAAUAUGUAAUUAGUGUGCCUUUCAAACAUAUUGCAUCUAAGUUAAAUGUUAAAUUAAUUUUAUAGCGGCACAAAUCAAAAAUCAUACAAAAAUUAAAUAAAUAAAAAAAAGUAAACAAAAAAAUGAAUGAGUAAAUUAAAUAAGGAGAAGUGGCGAAAAUCACAGGCAGCAGCCAAAACAUUAUGAAAUUAUAAUAUGAAAUAUGUGAAGCGACAUACUCAAUAAUUACAACAGAUUAAAUAAUUUAAAGAAAAACUAUUUAAUGAUGAUACAAUUUUAAAUAAUAUUUAUGUUUAGUAACGGCAAUCGUGCAAUCGUAGCAAUGAGCACCGCCAAAAUUUUCAAAUCUUUUGGUGUGCAGCCUAAAACGAAUCUUCUCGUUGUUAUUUUGGUUUCGUGUUCGAUUUCGAAAUUCAAUUCAAUUGAUGAUUGUGAGUAAUUUAAUAAAGCUACUAUAUAUACAUAUACCAUAAUAAGCUUAAGCACAUUGCAAUGAAUGUUGUAUGUAUUGUGUUAUUGGGAAAAAUUUAUUUCAAACAAUAUUCAUUCAUUUAAAUAUAAAACAUCAAAUAUAAAUCAUAUAAUUGCAAAUUCAUUGAAAUCUUGCAAAUCUAUCCACAUACAUAUGUUCAAAUAAUAAAUACAUAUAUACACAACUGUAAUAAAAUCAAACUAAAUUAUGUACAAGUUUUU